rnacentral:lncRNA from 15 species
UUCAAAUAAGCUUCACCUGUCAGCUUCACCUUCAAUCUCUCCUUUCUAGGGAGAUUCUAUAUAUAAGACUCUGGUCUGGACUCAGGACGUCUUUUCUAUUUGUCUAGGACUUGUUGGUAUUUGCACUCUGAAUAUAUUCUAGCUGGUCUCGACUGCGUUAAGCGAUAUAUGUUUUUUGAGGUAACUUCCACCUUGAAAACAAUCAUAAAAUCAAAAUCAUAAAAUUACCUUUUUAUGAAUUAACUUUUAAAAGUGUGCUAAAAAAUAUAUAUACUUCCACACUUUUGUUGUCAAGUUCUACAGAGAAAUGUUCGUACAUGUUCAUAUCCUACUAACUAGAAUAUUGUGAGUUUCAAAGUUUAAUUUUUUUUUAAAUAUAGAUGAUGAUAUAUAAAAAAUAUAAUGUAAAAAAAUGCUAAAUGGUGAAAAGUCAUUCAUUUUCUGUCCAGCUAAUUCUUUUACAUUUUGUUUUAUUGUUUCUGAGUAAUCAUGCCAAUGAUGCAAAUUCCACAGGGACUGAGGAGAAAGAGAGAGCGGGGGAGAAAACAAGGAGGGAGCUGAGCAAAAGAGGGACGGGGAGGAAAAAGAAAGCUAGGAACAGCAUGUGUUGGAUCUCCCCAGCUGAUAUGUGGUGAAAAGCUGAGGCAUUAGCACAUCAACCAGUUCCAAGCUUUGUGAUGCUCAAGAUCUUUAUCCUUCAGACUAUUGGAAAUAAUUAUAACUAAAGCAGUGGCCUCAAGAAUACAUAAAGCCGCUAAUUGUCGAUAGAUGGUGUGAUUUCUGUGGUUCUGAGAUUCUCUUUCAGAAAGACCUCUUUGUGUCCUUGCACAGCACACCUAUCGGAGACAUGCUCCUUCAAAGCCUGCCUUUCGCUUUACGUCAUUUUUGAGUUUAAAUGCUAAGACAAGGUGUUAGGGUCAGCGGGGGGACUGUGAGAUCUCAAGGGCUACAUGUUCAAACGGCGUUGCAUGUUCAAGACUCAUUAUUUAUCUGAGCAUUUUUCCAGUGAACUCUGUGCUCCCUGUGUGUCAUGUGGCGCUACUGUGUGUGGCUGUACAGAAAUAGUGUACAUCUGACUGCUUCACCACACAGAUCAUUAAGCGUAUUAGUGUAUUGUGCAAUGUACUGUUGGGGCCGAUUACUGUAUUGUAUGUGAGUCAAGUAUUUGUAUUUGAUGGGAAAUGCAGGUAUUUUAAUCCAGUCGUAGUCAUUUUAUUCUUGUCUAUCGGACGCAAAGAGGAUGUAGUGUGACCUUUAUUAAAGAGUUGUUUCACAUUUCCUACUGAUAGUCAUCUUGCUUGGGUUUCUUUUUACUUGAACUUUAAUACCCUAACCUUUAAGGACGUUAUUUUACCCAAACCAUGAUCGUUCCUUGAACCUAAAGUUGUUUUUGUGCCAAAUCUAAGCAAGAUGCCCAUCGCUUAUAUGUCUUGUGCUUACAUGGCAAGGACAAACACCGUAUUUUCUCGUCUAUGGCACAGAU